UGGGGGAUAUUGCACAAUGGGCGAAAGCCUGAUGCAGCGACGCCGCGUGGGGGAUGAAGGCUUUCGGGUUGUAAACCUCUUUCGCUAUCGAACAAGGCCCGCUUAGGGUGGGUUGAGGGUAGGUGGAGAAGAAGCGCCGGCUAACUACGUGCCAGCAGCCGCGGUAAUACGUAGGGCGCGAGCGUUGUCCGGAAUUAUUGGGCGUAAAGGGCUUGUAGGCGGGUUGUUGCGCCUGCUGUGAAAACGCGGGGCUUAACUUCGCGCGUGCAGUGGGUACGGGCAGGCUUGAGUGUGGUAGGGGUGACUGGAAUUCCAGGUGUAGCGGUGGAAUGCGCAGAUAUCUGGAGGAACACCGAUGGCGAAGGGAGGUCACUGGGCCAUUACUGACGCUGAGGAGCGAAAGCAUGGGUAGCGAACAGG
rnacentral:rRNA from 1 species